GCUGGGGUAGGCAAACAGGCAAAGCCGCCAAGCUCAAACCUUGGUGUUUGUGAGUUCGAAUCUCACCCUCAGCA
rnacentral:tRNA from 1 species